rnacentral:lncRNA from 1 species
UAUUUAUCGCUUUUGAUUAUUUUAAUUCAACAAAGAUAUCGGAAUAAAAUAUUUAUUUCUGAGUUUUGGAAAACCCGAGUUAGAAAAAACAAUAGAUUGAUGACCAGUUAAUGUGAAAUUUGGCAUGGUUGGGAGCUGGCCAUAUUUUCGUAAUCGGGUGGAUACGAAGAAGUGGCCCAUGGCGGACCAUCAUCCAAACGAUUCAUUUGUAAUUCGGUUUCUCGAUUUUUCUAUGACGUCGAUAUUUGAAAAAACGGAUCCCGAUCCGUAUGUCCAUCCCAACACCACAGAAUUUUCGGCGUCAUAUCAGUUAAUAUUGGAAACUUUUCACGCGUAUACGUCCAAAUGAUCAGAAAAUUACUG